AGUCACAAACAAACAAACAGAACUUCACAAGCUAAAGUAGACAAAAAUGCGCUUAUGCAAUAAGUUCUAAAAGGCUCAGCACGCAGUCUCAUCAUCGCGUCUUCAUAUCGUUUAUGCUCAUGGAUCCACGUCUUCAUCACGAACUGAGAACGAAAACAAGACGAAGAACAACGGCUCCAAAAUCACAUCAAACUCUGAAAUCAACAUCAUACAACUCAAUUAAACAUUUGUGCAAGCUUAAAAAUGGAAAUAACAUAAUGAAAAUCGAAGCGAGAACUCACCAAAUUGGAGCUUUGAUGCAAAUAGGGUAUGUUAAUUGGAGUUGCUUGUGAAACUUGUGAACUCAUAUACGCUUGGAAUGGUUUGUUGCUUGUGGAACUCAUGCUUGCGCAUGGAAUUGGCGUGAAGAAUGGAGUUUGGAAGGGACUUGGAUGCUAUAGAAUGCUAUUGAAUGUUAUCAAAUGGAAUGCCAUGGAGUCAUAUGCUUGGAAUGGAUUUCGAUGGAAUUUGAAUUGUGUAGAAAUUAUAGAUUUUUGUAAUUUGUGAAAUUGGACAUUGUGUUAAAACUUGAAUGUUGGUUUGAAAUGUAGUCUUUGUAGUUUUGGAUUUGGUGUGAAUUAUAACUUGAAUGGAGAUGUUGUAAAUUGAAAAAUAUGAAUGGAAAUCAUGACUGAUUGAAUGACAUAA